rnacentral:rRNA from 1 species
GAUGAACGCUGGCGGCGUGCCUAAUACAUGCGAGUCGAGCGAACGGACGAGAAGCUUGCUUCUCUGAUGUUAGCGGCGGACGGGUGAGUAACACGUGGAUAACCUACCUAUAAGACUGGGAUAACUUCGGGAAACCGUAGCUAAUACCGGAUAAUAUUUUGAACCGCAUGGUUCAAAAGUGAAAGACGGUCUUGCCGUCACUUAUAGAUGGAUCCGCGCUGCAUUAGCUAGUUGGUAAGGUAACGGCUUACCAAGGCAACGAUGCAUAGCCGACCUGAGAGGGUGAUCGGCCACACUGGAACUGAGACACGGUCCAGACUCCUACGGGAGGCAGCAGUAGGGAAUCUUCCGCAAUGGGCGAAAGCCUGACGGAGCAACGCCGCGUGAGUGAUGAAGGUCUUCGGAUCGUAAAACUCUGUUAUUAGGGAAGAACAUAUGUGUAAGUAACUGUGCACAUCUUGACGGUACCUAAUCAGAAAGCCACGGCUAACUACGUG